UACAGAGGUCUCAAGCGUUGUUCGGAUUCAUUGGGCGUAAAGGGUGCGUAGGCGGCGCGGUAAGUCGGGUGUGAAAUCUUGGAGCUUAACUCCGAAACUGCAUUCGAUACUGCCGUGCUUGAGGACUGGAGAGGGGACUGGAAUUUACGGUGUAGCGGUGAAAUGCGUAGAUAUCGUAAGGAAGACCAGUGGCGAAGGCGGGUCUCUGGACAGUUCCUGACGCUGAGGCACGAAGGUCAGGGGAGCAAACGGG
rnacentral:rRNA from 1 species